rnacentral:lncRNA from 13 species
GACCACCUCCCCCAUGACUCCCUCAUCCAAGACCACCUCCCCCAAGACGCACUCACUCAAAACCCCCUCUCCCAAGACCCGCUCCCCCAAGAAGCCUCAGACUAGAGUUCUUCACAGAUUCACCCAGGAUCCGAGGAUCCGAGAUCCGAUCCAGGAUCAGAGCCCAUCUAUGCAGCCCACCUCCAGCACCUCCAGCAACAACCCAGAAGGGAGACCUGCAGCCUCAACCUCAAUUCUGGGCAGGAGUUUAGAGCUAAAAAUUAGUCAAGGUUUCCAGAAACCAGACACACCCAGGCCAAAGAGCUACUCCCCCAAGAGCAAACCAACAGGGAUUUCACUGAACUAUAGGGGUACUGGUACUCCUUUCCGGGGAAGUGAGGGGAAUCUAACAACUACCCCCACUUCUAGGGGCCUGGCAAUCCCCCAUGACUGUCCAUCUCAGACCAGGAGUUCUCUGAGUAAAGCCUCAUAUUCUGCCAAAUUACCAUGGGAUGGAAAGAGGGAGAGAGAGAGAGAGAGGGACAGGGAGAGAGAGAGGGACAGGAAGAGAUGGGAGAGAGAGAGGGAGAGAUGGGAGAGGGAAAGGUGUCCACCCUCACAGAGACACCCUCACCCAGCACGGGGCCCAAUUCCACAGCCAAGCCGGGAGGAUCAUCCUAAAGAAUGCUUUAGAAAGAAAGACAAAACUACUAUAGGACAGGAGGACUUUAGAACUAAAGUCAAAAUACCAUGGGCACCAACUCAAAAACCCUCUAGCUCUCACAAGAGUUGGCGAAAUGUACCCUCACCCUGCCAGAAUCCUCCACCUGCGAGAAAUGGCCCCCAGUCAUACUCCAAAAAUAUCAAAGGCGCGCACUCACCCUCAGCUCAGACUAAAUCUAAAGUACCAGGGGAGAAGACAGACUCUCAGCACAUCAGCUCCCCCCCUACAACACAGAAGGUCCCUCAGGAGUCAGUGUCCCCUCCCCUGUCCCCCCGCUUCAGACCCGGCCCCAGCAGUCCGGAGCUCAUCCAUGCCUUUGUGAGUGCCAUGGGCUAUCUGCUCGGUGUGCCACCCACCUCCAUCCCUGGCCUCUGCCCUUCACCUGAAGACCCUGGUACGUCCUCCACCACUGACCCAUCAGCUUUUAACUCAGACCCCAUCCAGCCCCCCUGGACUGAAGAACUACGACUCAUCCGGCAAAGACUCAGUGAGCCUGGCUUAGGGCUCAACCCCCAGCCUCCCGACCACACCCAACCAGCCUCCAGACCAAAGGACACACACACAGGACAGGUGAAAGAAGGCCAUUCGUUUCUCUCACUGUUUGUGUGCGGCUCUGUUGAUUUGUUUUUAAGCCUGAGUGUCCUUACCUAGAAAUUAACCCUUUGACAAUGUGCUUUCACAUCGAUCCUCUUCUAUACAGAGGGAAGAGAGGCCUGCACAAUCAAUGGCACCAUCACUGAGAAAGAAUACAAAGAUGUGAGUCACACAUGGGAUAAUAGCCACACAAUACAUGUUUACACACACAAAGCCACCCCCUGGCUGUAAGAUAUCUCUCUGGUGUAAUGUGUGCAGGCUGUAGACUCAGAGUACCACACUUUAUGGACAAUUCACCGAUGUGUUCUUCACAGCUUUAUUUAAUAUUUUGUGAGUAAUUUUCUUUGUGAAUUCCCAGGUGAGAGGAGAUAGGAUGAAGAUGAGGAUACUGUAGCAUGCUACACUGCAGAGCUGCAAGGAGUCAGAGAGCAGCUGUUCAGACAGGACUUGACUGACUGACUGGUGGAAUCAGAAGAUGUUCACGUUAACAGGCUGAACAUCUGCUCAUACACCUGGGUUGUGUUUCUAACUCUUUCUCUGGAUAUAAUUAUCUAAUAAAUACAGAGUCAAAUACUUUAUGUACAUAUUCAUUUGCUGUAAGUACUGGCAGUUCAGCUCUUUGAAUUGAUGAUUUCAAUGCUUGUGAUACUGGUUUCAUUUUAGAUGGAUUUGAUCUUGCUUUCAUUUUGACAAGCAGUUAGCUGAAAAAUACAGGAAGCUGGGCAUGUUGAAGUUUGCACAUGUGACCACAGGAGGGCAGUCUCAUGCCAACCUAAUGCAAAUCCUAGUCAUAAUGAAGGGAGAAAUGAAAUCUAAUGUACAGAUUGUCAAAUUGUCAAAACAAAUGUACAGAGCACUGUGCUUUUGAAUCAUUUCUAUGUGGAUAUUGAACAUCAAUAAAACUUUUGAGUUAUGGAGGAGCCUAAAUCUAUAAGACAUUUUGUUUAGGUUUGAUUGGAUGAUAAGUUAACACGACACGCUGAUAUGCUUACCCUACAGCACAGACAAACUCUUGUCUGAGGUUUCUUUAUUA